UACGUAGGGUGCGAGCGUUGUCCGGAAUUAUUGGGCGUAAAGGGCUCGUAGGCGGUCUGUCACGUCGGGAGUGAAAACUCAGGGCUUAACCCUGAGCCUGCUUCCGAUACGGGCUGACUAGAGGUAUGCAGGGGGAGAACGGAAUUCCUGGUGUAGCGGUGAAAAUGCGCAGAUAUCAGGAGGAACACCCGGUGGCGAAGGCGGUUCUCUGGGCAUUACCUGACGCUGAGGAGCGAAAGUGUGGGGAGCGAACAGG
rnacentral:rRNA from 1 species